UAUUACUUGUUGUUGCUGGGUAAAAUCUGACAGCGGCAGACGGUAGGACAUAUAGAGGAAAUAUAAAAAAAAAAUGGUUAAAAUGCCUUUUCCUGUUCUUUAAAAAAAUAUUGUCAUAGAAAUGUCAAGUGGAUGUAUUUUAGUGACAGGAGGAGCCGGCUUUGUUGGUACCCAUUCUGUGAUAGAACUGGUAAAUGCUGGAUAUUCUGUUGUUGUUGUGGACAACUUUAUCAACGCUAAUCCCGAAAGUGUUAAACGAGUGGAAGAGAUAUGUGGAACA